GGACCAGUACGUUGGUCGUGCCUUAGGUACGUACUGGUGUUACUGGUUCCUACCUUCUGACGAACCAUCAUGUCAUUAAUUUGGUGUGGCGGGGAAUCAGGACUGUUACUUUGAAAAAAUUAGAGUGUUUAAAGCAGGCUCGCGCUUGAAUACAUUAGCAUGGAAUAAUGAAAUAGGACGUUGAUCCUAUUUUGUUGGUUUCUAGGAUUGACGUA
rnacentral:rRNA from 1 species